rnacentral:rRNA from 1 species
AAAACUUUCAACAACGGAUCUCUUGGUUCUGGCAUCCUUGAAGAACGCAGCGAAAUGCGAUAAGUAAUGUGAAUUGCAGAAUUCAGUGAAUCAUCGAAUCUUUGAACGCACAUUGCGCCCGCCAGUAUUCUGGCGGGCAUGCCUGUCCGAGCGUCAUUU